UACGUAGGUGGCAAGCGUUGUCCGGAUUUACUGGGCGUAAAGAGCGCGCAGGCGGCCGAGUAAGUCGAAUGUGAAAGCCCCCGGCUCAACUGGGGAAGGUCAUUCGAUACUGUUCGGCUUGAAGAUAGGAGAGGGAAGCGGAAUUUCAGGUGUAGUGGUGAAAUGCGUAGAUAUCAGGAGGAACACCGAUGGCGAAGGCAGUGGUCUGGGCCGAAACUGACGCUGAGGAGCGAAAGCGUGGGUAGCGAACAGG
rnacentral:rRNA from 1 species